UACGUAGGGUGCAAGCGUUGUCCGGAAUUAUUGGGCGUAAAGAGCUUGUAGGCGGUUUGUCGCGUCUGCUGUGAAAACUCGGGGCUUAACCCCGGGCCUGCAGUGGGUACGGGCAGACUAGAGUGCGGUAGGGGAGACUGGAAUUCCUGGUGUAGCGGUGAAAUGCGCAGAUAUCAGGAGGAACACCGGUGGCGAAGGCGGGUCUCUGGGCCGUAACUGACGCUGAGGAGCGAAAGCCAGGGGAGCAAACAGG
rnacentral:rRNA from 1 species